rnacentral:rRNA from 1 species
GACGAACGCUGGCGGCGUGCUUAACACAUGCAAGUCGAACGGAAAGGCCUCUUUCGGGGGGUACUCGAGUGGCGAACGGGUGAGUAACACGUGAGUAACCUGCCCUUGACUUUGGGAUAACUUCAGGAAACUGGGGCUAAUACCGGAUAGGAGCUCCUGCUGCAUGGUGGGGGUUGGAAAGUUUCGGCGGUUGGGGAUGGACUCGCGGCUUAUCAGCUUGUUGGUGGGGUAGUGGCUUACCAAGGCUUUGACGGGUAGCCGGCCUGAGAGGGUGACCGGCCACAUUGGGACUGAGAUACGGACCAGACUCCUACGGGAGGCAGCAGUGGGGAAUAUUGCACAAUGGGUGGAAGCCUGAUGCAGCAACGCCGUGUGCGGGAUGACGGCCUUCGGGUCGUAAACCGCUUUCGCUCAUGACGAAGCUUUGUGUGACGGUAGUGGGUAAAGAAGCACCGGCUAACUACGUG